rnacentral:rRNA from 1 species
UACGUAGGUGGCAAGCGUUGUCCGGAUUUACUGGGCGUAAAGAGCGCGCAGGCGGUCGUUCAAGUCGUGUGUGAAAGCCCCCGGCUCAACUGGGGAGGGUCACGCGAUACUGAUCGACUCGAAGGCAGGAGAGGGUAGUGGAAUUCCCGGUGUAGUGGUGAAAUGCGUAGAUAUCGGGAGGAACACCAGUGGCGAAGGCGACUUCCUGGCCUGUUCUUGACGCUGAGGCGCGAAAGCUAGGGUAGCAAACGGG